GACGAACGCUGGCGGCGUGCUUAACACAUGCAAGUCGAACGGAAAGGCCCUGCUUUUGUGGGGUGCUCGAGUGGCGAACGGGUGAGUAACACGUGAGUAACCUGCCCUUGACUUUGGGAUAACUUCAGGAAACUGGGGCUAAUACCGGAUAGGAGCUCCUGCUGCAUGGUGGGGGUUGGAAAGUUUCGGCGGUUGGGGAUGGACUCGCGGCUUAUCAGCUUGUUGGUGGGGUAGUGGCUUACCAAGGCUUUGACGGGUAGCCGGCCUGAGAGGGGGACCGGCCACAUUGGGACUGAGAUACGGCGCAGACUGCUACGGGAGGCAGCAGUGGGGAAUAUUGCACAAUGGGCGGAAGCCUGAUGCAGAAACGCCGCGUGCGGGAUGACGGCCUUCGGGUUGUAAACCGCUUUCGCCUGUGACGAAGCGUGAGUGACGGUAAUGGGUAAAGAAGCACCGGCUAACUACGUG
rnacentral:rRNA from 1 species